rnacentral:rRNA from 1 species
AGCAUCCGCGGUAAUUCCAGCUCCAAUAGCGUAUAUUAAAGUUGUUGCAGUUAAAAAGCUCGUAGUUGAAUUUCGGGGUCAGUAGGUCGGUCGUGCCACUGGUAUGAACUGGUUUUACUGAUUCCUCCCUCUUGAAGAACUGUAAUGCCAUUAAUUUGGUGUUGCAGGGAAUCAGGACUGUUACUUUGAAAAAAUUAGAGUGUUUAAAGCAGGCUUUAGCUUGAAUACAUUAGCAUGGAAUAAUGAAAUAGGACGUUUGAUCCUAUUUUGUUGGUUUCUAGGAUUGACGUAAUGAUUAAUAGGGAUAGUUGGGGGCAUUAGUAUUCAAUUGUCAGAGGUGAAAUUCUUGGAUUUAUUGAAGACUAACUACUGCGAAAGCAUUUGCCAAGGAUGUUUUCAUUAAUCAAGAACGAAAGUUAGGGGAUCGAAGACGAUCAGAUACCGUCGUAGUCCUUACACCAUAAACUAUGCCGACUAGGGAUCGGAUGAUGUUAAUUUUUUAAUGACUCA